ensembl:lncRNA
AUGAAAUCAACAGGUUCUGACUGUCUUUCUUCAUGUGUGGUAGCUGUCGUCAUCACAUGUGUUUUCCAUUCUGGUGCUUCUAACUCAAUUUCUGUUGUACAUUCAGUUUCAAGAGCCUCUGUUGUCAUUAAAGUCUCUUGUCUGGGUGAAAUGAAAUCUGCAUAUUUUAUAGAAGUGGUUGGUGUAAGUGGUUCAUUUGUUCCUUUUGACUCAUUAUUUUCUGAAAUGAAAUCAACAGGUUCUGACUGUAUUUCUUCAUGUGUGGUAUCUGUUCUCUCCACAGGUGUUUUAUCUUCUGGUGCUUGUAACUCAAUUUCUGUUGUGCAUUCAGUUUCAAGAGCCUCUGUUGUCAUUAAUAUCUCUUGUCUGCUUGAAAUUAAAUCUUCUGCAUAUUUUAUGGAAGUGGUUGGUGUAACUGGUUCAUUUGUCCCUUUUGUUAGAUGUUCUGAUGGUAAACCAUUAUAUUCUGACUGUCUUUCUUCAUGUGUGGUAGCUGUUUUCAUCACAGGUGUUUUCUCUUCUGGUGUUUGUAACUCAAUUUCUGUUGUACAUUCAGUUUCAAGAACCUCUGUUGUCAUUAAUGUCUCUUGUCUGCUUGAAAUGAAAUCUUCUGCAUAUUUUAUGGAAGUGGUUGGUGUAACUGGUUCAUUUGUCCCUUUUGUUAGAUGUUCUGAUGGUAAACCAUUAUAUUCUGACUGUCUUUCUUCAUGUGUGGUAUCUGUUCUCUCCACAGGUGUUUUAUCUUCUGGUGCUUGUAACUCAAUUUCUGUUGUGCAUUCAGUUUCAAGAGCCUCUGUUGUCAUUAAUAUCUCUUGUCUGCUUGAAAUUAAAUCUUCUGCAUAUUUUAUGGAAGUGGUUGGUGUUGCUGGUUCAGUUGUACCUUUUGACUCAUUAUUUUCUGAAAUGAAAUCAACAGGUUCUGACUGUAUUUCUUCAUGUGUGGUAUCUGUUCUCUCCACAGGUGUUUUAUCUUCUGGUGCUUGUAACUCAAUUUCUGUUGUGCAUUCAGUUUCAAGAGCCUCUGUUGUCAUUAAUAUCUGUUGUCUGCUUGAAAUUAAAUCUUCUGCAUAUUUUAUGGAAGUGGUUGGUGUUGCUGGUUCAGUUGUACCUUUUGACUCAUUAUUUUCUGAAAUGAAAUCAACAGGUUCUGACUGUAUUUCUUCAUGUGUGGUAUCUGUUCUCUCCACAGGUGUUUUAUCUUCUGGUGCUUGUAACUCAAUUUCUGUUGUGCAUUCAGUUUCAAGAGCCUCUGUUGUCAUUAAUAUCUGUUGUCUGCUUGAAAUUAAAUCUUCUGCAUAUUUUAUGGAAGUGGUUGGUGUUGCUGGUUCAGUUGUACCUUUUGACUCAUUAUUUUCUGAAAUGAAAUCAACAGGUUCUGACUGUAUUUCUUCAUGUGUGGUAUCUGUUCUCUCCACAGGUGUUUUAUCUUCUGGUGCUUGUAACUCAAUUUCUGUUGUGCAUUCAGUUUCAAGAGCCUCUGUUGUCAUUAAUAUCUGUUGUCUGCUUGAAAUUAAAUCUUCUGCAUAUUUUAUGGAAGUGGUUGGUGUUGCUGGUUCAGUUGUACCUUUUGACUCAUUAUUUUCUGAAAUGAAAUCAACAGGUUCUGACUGUAUUUCUUCAUGUGUGGUAUCUGUUCUCUCCACAGGUGUUUUAUCUUCUGGUGCUUGUAACUCAAUUUCUGUUGUGCAUUCAGUUUCAAGAGCCUCUGUUGUCAUUAAUAUCUGUUGUCUGCUUGAAAUUAAAUCUUCUGCAUAUUUUAUGGAAGUGGUUGGUGUUGCUGGUUCAGUUGUACCUUUUGACUCAUUAUUUUCUGAAAUGAAAUCAACAGGUUCUGACUGUAUUUCUUCAUGUGUGGUAUCUGUUCUCUCCACAGGUGUUUUAUCUUCUGGUGCUUGUAACUCAAUUUCUGUUGUGCAUUCAGUUUCAAGAGCCUCUGUUGUCAUUAAUAUCUGUUGUCUGCUUGAAAUUAAAUCUUCUGCAUAUUUUAUGGAAGUGGUUGGUGUUGCUGGUUCAGUUGUACCUUUUGACUCAUUAUUUUCUGAAAUGAAAUCAACAGGUUCUGACUGUAUUUCUUCAUGUGUGGUAUCUGUUCUCUCCACAGGUGUUUUAUCUUCUGGUGCUUGUAACUCAAUUUCUGUUGUGCAUUCAGUUUCAAGAGCCUCUGUUGUCAUUAAUAUCUGUUGUCUGCUUGAAAUUAAAUCUUCUGCAUAUUUUAUGGAAGUGGUUGGUGUUGCUGGUUCAGUUGUACCUUUUGACUCAUUAUUUUCUGAAAUGAAAUCAACAGGUUCUGACUGUCUUUCUUCAUGUGUGGUAUCUGUUCUCUCCACAGGUGUUUUAUCUUCUGGUGCUUGUAACUCAAUUUCUGUUGUGCAUUCAGUUUCAAGAGCCUCUGUUGUCAUUAAUAUCUGUUGUCUGCUUGAAAUUAAAUCUUCUGCAUAUUUUAUGGAAGUGGUUGGUGUUGCUGGUUCAGUUGUACCUUUUGACUCAUUAUUUUCUGAAAUGAAAUCAACAGGUUCUGACUGUAUUUCUUCAUGUGUGGUAUCUGUUCUCUUCACAGGUGUUUUCUCUUCUGGUGUUUGUAACUCAAUUUCUGUUGUACAUUCAGUUUCAAGAGCCUCUGUUGUCAUUAAUGUCUCUUGUCUGGGUGAAAUGAAAUCUUCUGCAUAUUUUAUGGAAGUGGUUGGUGUAAGUGGUUCAGUUGUACCUUUUGACUCAUUAUUUUCUGAAAUGAAAUCAACAGGUUCUGACUGUCUUUCUUCAUGUGUGGUAUCUGUUCUCUCCACAGGUGUUUUAUCUUCUGGUGCUUGUAACUCAAUUUCUGUUGUGCAUUCAGUUUCAAGAGCCUCUGUUGUCAUUAAUAUCUGUUGUCUGCUUGAAAUUAAAUCUUCUGCAUAUUUUAUGGAAGUGGUUGGUGUUGCUGGUUCAGUUGUACCUUUUGACUCAUUAUUUUCUGAAAUGAAAUCAACAGGUUCUGACUGUAUUUCUUCAUGUGUGGUAUCUGUUCUCUUCACAGGUGUUUUCUCUUCUGGUGUUUGUAACUCAAUUUCUGUUGUACAUUCAGUUUCAAGAGCCUCUGUUGUCAUUAAUGUCUCUUGUCUGGGUGAAAUGAAAUCUUCUGCAUAUUUUAUGGAAGUGGUUGGUGUAAGUGGUUCAUUUGUUCCUUUUGACUCAUUAUUUUCUGAAAUGAAAUCAACAGGUUCUGACUGUCUUUCUUCAUGUGUGGUAUCUGUUCUCUCCACAGGUGUUUUAUCUUCUGGUGCUUGUAACUCAAUUUCUGUUGUGCAUUCAGUUUCAAGAGCCUCUGUUGUCAUUAAUAUCUGUUGUCUGCUUGAAAUUAAAUCUUCAGCAUAUUUUAUGGAAGUGGUUGGUGUUGCUGGUUCAGUUGUACCUUUUGACUCAUUAUUUUCUGAAAUGAAAUCAACAGGUUCUGACUGUAUUUCUUCAUGUGUGGUAUCUGUUCUCUUCACAGGUGUUUUCUCUUCUGGUGUUUGUAACUCAAUUUCUGUUGUACAUUCAGUUUCAAGAGCCUCUGUUGUCAUUAAUGUCUCUUGUCUGGGUGAAAUGAAAUCUUCUGCAUAUUUUAUGGAAGUGGUUGGUGUAAGUGGUUCAUUUGUUCCUUUUGACUCAUUAUUUUCUGAAAUGAAAUCAACAGGUUCUGACUGUCUUUCUUCAUGUGUGGUAUCUGUUCUCUCCACAGGUGUUUUAUCUUCUGGUGUUUGCAACUCAAUUUCUGUUGUACAUUCAGUUUCAAGAGCCUCUGUUGUUAUUAAUGUCUCUUGUCUGGGUGAAAUGAAAUCUUCUGCAUAUUUUAUUGAAGUGGUUGGUGUUGCUGGUUCAAUUGUACCUUUUGACUCAGUAUUUUCUGACAGUUUUUCAUGUGUGGUACCUGUUUUCAUCACAGGUGUUUUCUCUUCUGGUGUUUGUAACUCAAUUUCUGUUGUGCAUUCAGUUUCAAGAGUCUCUGUUGUCAUUAAUGUCUCUUGUCUGCUUAAAAUGAAUUCCUCUGCAUAUUUUAUGGAAGUGGUUGGUGUUGGUGGUUCAAUUGUACCUUUUGACUUAAUAUUUUCUGAAAUGAAAUCAAAAGGUUCUGACUGUCUUUCUUCAUAUGUGGUAGCUGUCGUCAUCACAGGUGUUUUCUCUUCUGGUGCUUGUAACUCUAUUUCUGUUGUACAUUCUGUUUCACGAGUCUCUGUUGUCAAUAAUGCCUCUUCUCUGUUCAUUGUGAAAUCUCCUGCAUAUUUUGUGGACAUGGCUGGUGUUGCACGUGCAAUUGUACCUUUUGACUCAAUAUUUUCUGAAAUGAAAUCAACAGAUUCUGACUGUCUUUCUUCAUGUGUGGUAUCUGUUCUCUCCACAGGUGUUUUCUCGUCUGGUGCUUGUAACUCAAUUUCUGUUGUGCAUUCAGUUUCAAAAGCCUUUGUUGUUAUUAAUGUCUCUUUUCUGGUUGAAAUGAACUCUUCUGCAUAUUUUAUGGAAGUGGUUGGUGUUUCUGGUUCAGUUGUACCUUUUGACUUAAUAUUUUCUGAAAUGAAAUCAACAGGUUCUGACUGUCUUUCUUCAUGUGUGGUAGCUGUUGUCAUCACAGGUGUUUUAUCUUCUGUUGUUUUCAACUCUAUUUCUGUUGUACACUCAGUUUUAAGAACCUCUGUUGUCAUUAAUGUCUCUUGUCUGGUCGCUGUAAAGUCAUCUGCAAUUUUUUUGAAUGUUUUUGGUGUCACUGGUUCAUUUGUUCCUUCUGUCUCGAGAUGUUGUGUAUUUAAAUUAACAGGCUCUGACUGACUUUCUUUGUAUAUGGUAUCCAUUCUCUCCACAGGUUUUUUAUCUUCAAGUGUUUGUAACUCAAUUUCGGUUGUGCAUUCUGUUUCAGGAAACUCUGUUGUCAUUCCAGUCUCUUUUUCUGUCAGCAUGACAGUAUGUUUAUUCCCUCUGAAUGUGUUUGUUGUUACUGGUUUAUUUGUUCGGGAUUCUUUUGUCAUUAAAAUGUCAGGUUGACUUGUAACCAAGAUCAACUUCUCCAUUGCUGUCCAGUCCUCUCUUUGCACAGAGUAUUCUUUCUCAUCCUUGUGUUUUACAUCAGAUACACUGUUUUCUUUUUCCAAUGUUGCUCUUGCCAUCGUUAAUCUAAUUCCACUGAAGCUUGUCUGGUGUUUUUGACCAAAUUUUGUGGUUUCCUGAACUGUUCCCACUGUUGGCCUGAUUUCUUUGCCCCCUGAAGAUAUUUUCUUCUCACUUCCUUCAUUUUCUGCUGAUGGCCUCUCCAGUUCUGUUGUGCAGUCUGUUUCAGUCGGCACUGUUGUAAUUCCCAUCUGUUGUUUUGUUAGUGUGAUAGUAUUUGUAUAUUUUCUGGAGGUGGCCAGAUUUUCUAAUUCACUUGUAUUCAUUUCAAGAUGUUCUGUACUCAACAGAAGAUCUUUAGUGCUUUCUGUCUCGAAGCUCUCUGUUAUGCUUGAUUCUUUUGUUUUAUCUUCUGCAUUAUGUGGUUUUAAAACCGUUUGACUGAAUGACAUGGUUGAAGUCUUCUUGUCUUCACCUUCAUUCGAGUCAUCAUCUUUUAAGACAAUCGUUGGCCUUGGUUUCCAUAUGCUUCUUCUUUGCCUAAACAUUUUCACUGGAAUUUGGUUUCUGUGUUUUGAAGCCUUUGUUUGUAUCUUAUCUGUCGCUAAUGUCUCAGUCUCUGCUGUAACUAUGCUGUCCUUUGCUGUCAUUUGGAAAAGUCCCAUUCCUAAUAACGUCAGUAUUUUUUCCAUGUGGACGACAGCAUCGUUACUAGAAUUGGAUGCAAAUUUCAUAGCACUUUCUGCUAACUCAUUUAUUUCGAUUUCGUCUCCUUGGUGCGGUUGUGAAUAUCUUGUAGCCUGGUAUAUGGGACAGAUGGUUGAACCCUUUUGAUUAAUAAAUAUUCUUAACCGUAUGGCUGAUGGGAAGGU